rnacentral:misc_RNA from 1 species
UACUGGAUUACUUUCCCUGCCUAUUUAACAUUCGAGUUCCUGGUUUAUCAGGGGAAGUAAUGGAAUUGGAAGGAGAGAACUCGCUAAGAGUGAAUGACUUACUUUACAUUUAAUACUUUUGAUUGCGCGAGGUCACCAAAUCUUAUCUCCACCCCUCGCUUCGGUGCUGGUUUUGGUAACUUAGAGAUAGAACGUGGACAGUGGCGACUAGAAGAUCUUCAAGCUGUAUAUUACAAAACAGGUCUACGGUUAACGUUUCCCGACAUCAAUGAUGACGUCAUCACAGCGGCAGAGAACUCCGAAAUACGUAUACGCUUUGGAGUUGCCGACCUUGGAGGCGUUACCGAUCUUUUUUUCAUCGGCUUGGACAUUAGUAACGAUUCGAGUGGGGCUACAAAGGCUCAAUUUUUGUGUGUAAUAACUUACAACACAAGUGCCAUGUCAUUUCUAGUGGAUGAGAAGAUGGACUGUUUUGUUUCACCUGGAGCCGACACUGUGGUGUUUUUCAAAACCGUGUCUCGUCAGGAUGACAAAGCCACGUUGAGGUGGACAGUGACACCACAUGGAGUUGAGAAACGCUUACGGCUUAACGUCACCUAUCCUCCCAUCAUAACCAGCCUCACUUUUACUGAUGAACCGAAAGUGACAACGAAAAUAGUUCAGAAGGGCGAGAUGGUACAGCUGACCUGUUCAUGGGUUCACGGCAACCCGCCCACAGCAGUCCGUCUUCUACACAGCAAGAGACAGCAGAUGAUGACAGAAAUCUCCGACAGCAGCAAGAACAACCUGACCUAUGAACUGAACCCAGGUCACCUGCGACCACAUGGGUGUGUUCACGUGUCAGGCGGCAGGAGCAGAGGUCAACAGAAGUGUGACACUCUUGGUUCAGUGCUCACCCCAAUUGCUAGCUCCAGAUAAGAUCGUAACGGUCACUGGCACACGAGGACAAUCAGUGACCUUGAGUUACAACUUCCUGUCACACACAACCAACAUCACACAGUGUCGUCUUCGUAAACUUCCAUCAAGCGCAAGCCAUAACCUCGAAGUGCUUCGUCUAACGGCUACCUUUAACUGUUGGCUGACAGGACGGCCUCCUGACCUCAACCUGACCGUUGUCAUGCAGGACGUCAGUGACACUGACCAGGGAAUGUGGCAACUAGAAGUGACCAAUGGCUGGGGAACAAACUCUGUUAACUUCUCUCUCUUGUUGAGCAACGGUAUGCUGAGAAAAGCAGCUCUUUCUUUUUGUUAUAGAAAUUAUUCUUGUCGAUGCCCGUGAAUACAAUCUCUGUAAGACAGUAACAAAACUGAACCAAAAAUAACAGGGACUAGAAACAUCAUGAGACACUUUGUCCCAAACAAAUUUUCAGUCCACGUUAAGUGAUAAAGCAGAUAUAAGUGCAAACAAGUAAUGCACGAAAGAGGACAGGGAAUGGAAGAAGCAUCAGAAGAAGACUUGUCGGUUACCCAGAUAACAUCAAAAAUUAACUCUGCAGCCCAUCUUCUAGCUUCAUCAUUCUACUGCAAGUUUGUUUCAAUAGUAUUACUAGCAAUGGUGGUUGUAGAGGCAAAAAAUAGAAGUAAUUAAUAAUUACAAGAGGGGGAUAACUAAAAUAAUGACUUUGUAGGAAGGUAAGGGGAGAUUAGCCAACAAGAAAUGAAAAGUAUACAUGGGUAUAUGAGUCAGUAAGACUGAUAGGUAUGUAUAUGAUAUGAGUGUAGAUGUCAAAGGUAUGAGAGAAUUCUUGAUUUUGCAUAUUUUACAUUGUAUUUAACUGUUAAAUAUUGCUAUACCAAUCCAUAAACAUUCAGCUUACUCUCCUUUACACGAGAGCGCGCGCGCGCACACACACACACACAGACAUGUAGGCACGCACAUCUGCAGGUAACAUAAUAACAAACGCACUUACCUUUUCGAAAUCACUUUGAGUGUCACAUAUAAUUAAUUAAACAAAAAUCAUCUAUAUGCUCACAUCCGGACCUGGUCAACAUACGCAGAUUACACUGUGACAAAAUAUGACAUACUCGCAUGCCACGCAGAUACCUAGAAAAAACAUAACAUCAGUAAAAGAGUUCACACCUGUACUUAAGUGUGUGGGGGGAGUGGGGUGGGGGUGUUGCAUGUAGUGUGAAUAUUUCCCUGCGCCUCGCUUUCGUGCCGGAUGAGCCUCUUGAGAGUGGUUUGCUGCAAAUUACCAAUCGCCUUCAUCGUCGGUCAAUAUUCACUCGACAAACAGCGGAUACCGCGGUAAAAAUAAGGGAUUUUACUGUCACCGCUGAAAAUACCUAUCACCUACUUUCCAGUCCCUUCACGAAUCCACGAUUGCUUCUUCCCCCCCCCCCCUUCCUUUGGACAGCAGACACCGUGACAAUGACAAGGGAAGCAACCACAAACUUUAAUUCUUUAAUUCCGUGGCAGUAGCUUUAUCGAUGGUCUUAUUGUGCUAUUCGCGUAGUUUAUAGACUUUUUUAACAACACAGGGGUGAAAACAACAUUCAACUCCAAGAUCAAACGUAUGUACAUUUAUUGUAUACUUUAUAUAAUUUGAUUAUUUUAGCCAUUUUAGCCUUAGAUAUCUAAAUAACUUACUGACUUCUUAAUUUUCGAACGCUUUUUUUACUACUGUGUCCUCUUUUUCUUCUUGCUUUCCUAAAUGUUCUUUCAUCUUUUUAUGCUGAAUUAAAUCAUGUCAUGUUCUGUUGAUGUUGUAUGUAAUGUUAUAAUGUUACCAUUGGCAUACUCAAUAAUUUUCUGAAAAAUUAACAAAGCUUGUAUUUUGUAUAAAUUGAAUCUAGAGCACUGUACAUAACACUGUAAUUAAAACAUCGUUAGGAAAAAAAUAUUACCGCUAUCAAUAUCAUCAGUUCCUGUUUCAGUCUUGGACUUACUGGAUUACUCCCCCUGCCUAUCUAACGUUCGCGUACCUGAUUUAUCAAGGGAGGACAAUCGCGUCAUCACUGCUUUCAAUUUAGAAAAAAUGAAAGUGAGAGAGAGAGCCAGCGAGACCUCCUCAGACACAGGAGAUGGGGUGAUGACGGAUGUAAGGCAAAGAAAAAUAUACAGAUAUAACAUGAACCAGAUUAUCGUUAGUAUUGCUUUAAACAGACAGACAGCCAAAAGAAUAUAAAACGCGGAGAGGUCUAAGAAAUGUAUAGCUUAAAACUCUCUCCGCGUUGUUCGCGGUAGAGAGAUGAUGUCCGACUAGGGUAGAGUCGUACAGCAACACAUCGCGCUAUGAAUGCAAAAGGGAGAAUGGGAGAAAACUCCUGGUACAUUCAGCAGAUUUGUUCUAGCAUGGAUUACUUCCCUUCAACUGCUAGAGGAAGAAAGGGGAAGGGGGGUUGUGAUACUUGAAAGUAGGAAUGUGUUAGUUGACCAAGCUAGGAAGUUAAUCCACGGUAAAUCAACCAACAUUUCUUUUUUUCGUUAUUUAUUCUAAUGUAUGCCCCCGAACACUGCAGCUUACACUGUACAAAAAAGAAGGCAACCCUUUCCCUAGCACAUACUGCGCCAAGCAAGAUUAUAAAUCUGUUUAAUCUGUCUCUUCUUAGCAAUAUACAAAUGUCUUGUUCUGGAUUUUAAUGUACACUGUAACUUACAACAGUUUCAUCAAUCAAAUGCAACAGGUCUUUUAUUUAGACAGGGACAAAGUAACAUCACGCAUCUGUGUACACAAAAACUUAUUUAAAUUUAAAAAGAAUGUUUACAGAAUAAGAGCCAUUUACUGACCCUAUGAUAUCACUUUUACACUAGACCACCCCUCACCAAAUCAAAUUUGUGCCACCUUUACCUGUUAGAAGCAGGGGUUGUAUAGCUGGAUAAAUAAACAUUAUAAACUAAGUACCAUUUGUUGUCAUCAACCAGAUCAUCCCUAUGUAUUUUAGUGACAAUAUCUAUAUUUCUCAUAUCUCUGAGCUCAUUAUUUGAUUCUUGAAAUUUCAUGACCCCUAUCAAGAAAAAAAAAUCUCUAGAUGACAGCACCUUCGCUCAUUUUCGACCCUUCUCUAUCCAACAUUCAGAUACUGCAUACCACUUCCAAGUCUAAACCAGUCUCUCUUCCAAUCUGUGGAACCAGCUCCAACAACCACCCCUCAUUUCUUUUCUUCUAUCAUUGCAGUUCACAUAUAAAAGCGUUCAUUAAUAUCAUGCAGGAAAUUGAAAGAAAUAGCUUGCCUGCACUCCAGCCUCUUUUCUGGUACGUGUUAGAAAUUUGGAAUGGACUAACACUGUCAAGUCAGUAGGUCUUGGUGCUUGCUGUGCAUAGCCACCAUCUGGUUACAUAUUAUCCCAGAAAGGCUUACGUACCCUGUUCUUAAAUAUGAGAAUGGAUGUUUAUUUCCAUGAUGAUUUGAAGUCCAGAUGUUGAGUGAAUUUGUGAUUUUCAAGUUUCAACUGACGUUUUUAGUUUAGUGAUCUCAGUGUUUUCUGGCAUAAUUAGACCAAGGCAGACAAUUACUGAGUUGCUAACACCUUCUAAUGCAAAAAUUAAAAUAACAAAGCCAGUGGCGUUUUUAGAAUUUUAUUUCAAUAUUUAUAAGCUGAGUACAACUAAGUUUCCAUAAAACUGCUUUUCAGAUUGGACAAAAUAGUUUUUAACUCAGUUAACAUUUAAAGCAAGAGUCAAUUUUUUCAAUGUCUGCAUUACUAUUCCAAAUAUGUUUCCUUUGUUUAAAAUGAGUAGCAUAUACUCUCUUCAAGCUCUACAGGGUGUGGUCUGCAGAUGUGUGUGGUAAGAAUAUGAACAUGUUGCAUGCCUCUGUGUCUCCCUAGGUAGUGUACGCGCGAUGCAUGUGUGUGCCUAUGAAUGCAUCACUGGUGAAGGAAUGUGUGUCCGAUACUAGAAACCAAAGCUUUCACA